rnacentral:rRNA from 1 species
AAACUAACAGAUUUACUUCGGUAAUGACGUUAGGAAAGCGAGCGGCGGAUGGGUGAGUAACACGUGGGGAACCUGCCCCAUAGUCUGGGAUACCACUUGGAAACAGGUGCUAAUACCGGAUAAGAAAGCAGAUCGCAUGAUCAGCUUUUAAAAGGCGGCGUAAGCUGUCGCUAUGGGAUGGCCCCGCGGUGCAUUAGCUAGUUGGUAAGGUAAAGGCUUACCAAGGCGAUGAUGCAUAGCCGAGUUGAGAGACUGAUCGGCCACAUUGGGACUGAGACACGGCCCAAACUCCUACGGGAGGCAGCAGUAGGGAAUCUUCCACAAUGGACGCAAGUCUGAUGGAGCAACGCCCCGUGAGUGAAGAAGGUUUUCGGAUCGUAAAGCUCUGUUGUUGGUGAA